rnacentral:rRNA from 1 species
UACGGGGGGGGCAAGCGUUGUUCGGAAUUACUGGGCGUAAAGGGUUCGUAGGUGGCUUGUUAAGUCAGACGUGAAAUCCCUCGGCUCAACCGGGGAACUGCGUCUGAGACUGAUGAGCUCGAGUGCAGGAGAGGAACGCGGAAUUCCAGGUGUAGCGGUGAAAUGCGUAGAUAUCUGGAGGAACACCGGUGGCGAAGGCGGCGUCCUGGACCAACACUGACACUGAUGAGCGAAAGCCAGGGGAGCAAACGGG